rnacentral:rRNA from 1 species
UACGUAGGGGGCUAGCGUUGUCCGGAAUCAUUGGGCGUAAAGAGCGUGUAGGCGGUCCGGUAAGUCCGCUGUGAAAGUCGGGGGCUCAACCCUCGAAUGCCGGUGGAUACUGUCGGGCUAGAGUGCGGAAGAGGCGAGUGGAAUUCCUGGUGUAGCGGUGAAAUGCGCAGAUAUCAGGAGGAACACCUAUGGCGAAGGCAGCUCUCUGGGACGGUACUGACGCUGAGACGCGAAAGCGUGGGGAGCGAACAGG